CGGCGACGGGUGAGUAACGCGUGGGCAACCUGCCUUACACAGGGGGAUAACAGUUAGAAAUGACUGCUAAUACCGCAUAAGACCGCAGUACCGCAUGGUACAGCGGUAAAAACUCCGGUGGUGUAAGAUGGGCCCGCGUCUGAUUAGGUAGUUGGCGGGGUAACGGCCCACCAAGCCGACAUCAGUAGCCGACCUGAGAGGGUGACCGACCACAUUGGGACUGAGACACGGCCCAAACUCCUACGGAAGGCAGCAG
rnacentral:rRNA from 1 species